rnacentral:rRNA from 1 species
AGCAGCCGCGGUAAUUCCAGCUCCAAUAGCGUAUAUUAAAGUUGUUGCAGUUAAAAAGCUCGUAGUUGAAUUUCGGGAUCAAGGGAUCGGUCAUGCCUUGGUAUGUACUGGUCUUAUUGGUUCUCACCUUCUAAAGAACCAUGAUGUCAUUCAUUUGAUGUUAUGGGGAAUUAGGACUGUUACCUUGAAAAAAUUAGAGUGUUUAAAGCAAGCUUACGCUUGAAUACAUUAGCAUGGAAUAAUGAAAUAGGACAUCAGAUUCUAUUUUGUUGGUUUCUAGGAUCGAUGUAAUGAUUAAUAGGGAUAGUUGGGGGCAUUAGUAUUCAAUUGUCAGAGGUGAAAUUCUUGGAUUUAUUGAAGACUAACUACUGCGAAAGCAUUUGCCAAGGAUGUUUUCAUUAAUCAAGAACGAAAGUUAGGGGAUCGAAGACGAUCAGAUACCGUCGUAGUCUUAACCAUAAACUAUGCCGACUAGGGAUCGGAUGAUGUUAAUUUUUUAAUGACUCA